rnacentral:rRNA from 1 species
GAUGAACGCUAGCUACAGGCUUAACACAUGCAAGUCGAGGGGCAGCAUUUCAGUUUGCUUGCAAACUGGAGAUGGCGACCGGCGCACGGGUGAGUAACACGUAUCCAACCUGCCGAUAACUCGGGGAUAGCCUUUCGAAAGAAAGAUUAAUACCCGAUGGUAUAAUCAGACCGCAUGGUCUUGUUAUUAAAGAAUUUCGGUUAUCGAUGGGGAUGCGUUCCAUUAGGCAGUUGGUGAGGUAACGGCUCACCAAACCUUCGAUGGAUAGGGGUUCUGAGAGGAAGGUCCCCCACAUUGGAACUGAGACACGGUCCAAACUCCUACGGGAGGCAGCAGUGAGGAAUAUUGGUCAAUGGGCGCAGGCCUGAACCAGCCAAGUAGCGUGAAGGAUGACUGCCCUAUGGGUUGUAAACUUCUUUUAUAUGGGAAUAAAGUUUUCCACGUGUGGAAUUUUGUAUGUACCAUAUGAAUAAGGAUCGGCUAACUCCGUGCCAGCAGCCGCGGUAAUACGGAGGAUCCGAGCGUUAUCCGGAUUUAUUGGGUUUAAAGGGAGCGUAGGUGGACAGUUAAGUCAGUUGUGAAAGUUUGCGGCUCAACCGUAAAAUUGCAGUUGAUACUGGCUGUCUUGAGUACAGUAGAGGUGGGCGGAAUUCGUGGUGUAGCGGUGAAAUGCUUAGAUAUCACGAAGAACUCCGAUUGCGAAGGCAGCUCACUGGACUGCAACUGACACUGAUGCUCGAAAGUGUGGGUAUCAAACAGAAUUAGAUACCCUGGUAGUCCACACAGUAAACGAUGAAUACUCGCUGUUUGCGAUAUACAGUAAGCGGCCAAGCGAAAGCAUUAAGUAUUCCACCUGGGGAGUACGCCGGCAACGGUGAAACUCAAAGGAAUUGACGGGGGCCCGCACAAGCGGAGGAACAUGUGGUUUAAUUCGAUGAUACGCGAGGAACCUUACCCGGGCUUAAAUUGCAUUUGAAUAUAUUGGAAACAGUAUAGCCGUAAGGCAAAUGUGAAGGUGCUGCAUGGUUGUCGUCAGCUCGUGCCGUGAGGUGUCGGCUUAAGUGCCAUAACGAGCGCAACCCUUAUCUUUAGUUACUAACAGGUCAUGCUGAGGACUCUAGAGAGACUGCCGUCGUAAGAUGUGAGGAAGGUGGGGAUGACGUCAAAUCAGCACGGCCCUUACGUCCGGGGCUACACACGUGUUACAAUGGGGGGUACAGAAGGCAGCUACCUGGUGACAGGAUGCUAAUCCCAAAAGCCUCUCUCAGUUCGGAUCGAAGUCUGCAACCCGACUUCGUGAAGCUGGAUUCGCUAGUAAUCGCGCAUCAGCCAUGGCGCGGUGAAUACGUUCCCGGGCCU